UGUUUCUAUAUUCUAUGAUGACGUCAUACACGGAAAAUAAAUCGGGCUUAAACGAAAAAAAUCAAUAAAUAGCCGGAAGUUGUUCACAAACUGCUGAGCCAUUAUUCAUUUACAUAUAGUAUGUAUAUGGAAAGCCGAAGCACAGAAUAUUAAAGAUGAGUAACAGAAGAGCCACUCAGCGGUGCAACGUGUCCUCGUUUUUUUAUGCAAAAAUAUGCAGUUUACUGGCCAGAAGGCGGAGCAGCCAGCCAGUACAGCGUGUUUAUUGGCCAGAAAAUGUCAUUGACAGGCUAGGAAAAUGGCGGCCAACAUGCGUAAUGCGACAUGCGCGAGGACAAAAACUUCAAAGCUUCCGACGUAUCUUUAUUCUAUGGCCGAAGGUUGGCCUGAUACGGAAGUAAAAAAAAUAGAGUAUUUUCGUUGGUUGUUCCCCAAAUAUGGGCAACUAGACAAUAUAAAUUUCUUGCUUUCCUUUUACGGUUUUAUGGUUAUAGGGAG